rnacentral:rRNA from 1 species
UACAGGGGGUGCAAGCGUUGCUCGGAAUCAUUGGGCGUAAAGCGCACGUAGGCGGUUCGUUAUGUCGGAUGUGAAAGCCCUUGGCUUAACCGAGGAAGUGCAUCCGAAACUGGCGAGCUAGAGUACGAAAGAGGAUCGCGGAAUUCCCGGUGUAGAGGUGAAAUUCGUAGAUAUCGGGAGGAACACCGGUGGCGAAGGCGGCGAUCUGGGUCGAUACUGACGCUGAGGAGCGAAAGCGUGGGGAGCGAACAGG